rnacentral:tRNA from 1 species
AACGCGGUGGCAGAGUGGUGAUGCAGCGGACUGCAAAUCCGUAUACGUGGGUUCGAUUCCCGCCCGUGCCUCCA